AGAGAAAUAAUUAAAUGCAGUUCAUGCUUAUUAACCAUAGAUUUGAGCAUUAGAUGAAACAGAUUUCAGAACAUUAUUUAUCAUUGAUAAACUUCUUAACCCUGACUCAGUUUCAUCUCAAGUGUGAGUAAACUAUUUCACUUGUCGUAGAUCCACCUUUUCACUACCAAAUCGAUCUCUCAGAUAAUGCAUAUAACAACAUUGCUUUGAUUGUGUGUGUAUACAUACAUACAUAUCUGUCUCUAUAUAUAAAGAUAUAUAUAAGGGAAAAAGGUCAAAUUUGUCCCUCUACUUUAGAAAAUUAUCCACGUUUAUCCCUAAUUCUACUAUUGGUCCAAAUUUAUAUAUAUGGGAAAAAGGCCAAAUUUGUCCCUCUACUUUAGAAAAUUAUCCACAUUUAUCCCUAAUUUUACUAUUGGUCCAAAUUCGUCCCUACCGUUAAGAAAGUAGACAAACAUAUCCCCAACCCCUAACAGUUGUCCAUUGUGGCAAGGGACCCAGUCAAUAAAAAAUGCCACGUAAUUAUUUUUUUAUUUUUUUUCUUUCUCCUUUUCCCUACAAUCAGAAUCUAUCCCCUUUCUCUCCCUUGCCCUCUACCAUUAUUUACCUUCCCUUUCACCCCACCCAUCUCCAUGGAUGGCAAAACCACAUAGAACCAUUACUUGUCAAACAAAAAUACUACCGUAAUCAAUUAAAAAAUGGGCAAAAUCACAGCCCAUACAUUUACCUUCUCCAUUGACACUUGAAAACAACUAGAACCCUUUUUCUUUCACUAUUUUCAGAUUUCCAAAGCUCCAUUCUUCCGUUUUUUAUACUAAUCUAGACAUAUCGGUAACACCGAGAAAAGAAAAAAACAAGAAUCAAAAGAAAAAAGUGAUAGAAAAAAUUGGAAAGUUUUAAUUUUGUAAUCUAAAAAUGCAGGUAAGAGACUAAAAAGGAAAAUUUGGUGUUAAGAUAAUGGUGAGUGAAUAUGGUGUAUUAAUACUACACAGUUUAUUAGCAAGCAAGCAAUUUUAAUUAUUGAGUCCUUUUUUGUUUUAGCAAACAGUGAAGGCCAGCGAUUUUAACAAAUGAAGACGAAGGAAGGUUGAAAAUGGUGGUGGAAGGUUGUCUCAGUGUGGUUUCAAGGCAGAGGACGAUGGUUCAACCCUUCAAGGCGCCGCCACAAAGUACUAAAUACCCAGUUCUUUCAUGGGUUUAGUGGUUUAGGUUGAUGUAACGGUGGAGGGCAAGGGAUUAAGAUGUUAGGUAGAAGAAGAGAAAAGAAAAUUUAGAAUUAAUUAUGUGGCAUUUUUUAUUGAGUGGGUCCCUUGCCACAGUGGACAGCCGUUAGGGUUGGGGAUAUGUUUGUCUACUUUCUUAAUGGUAGGGACGAAUUUGGACCGAUAGUAGAAUUAGGGAUAAACGUGGAUAAUAUGUUAAAGUAGAGGGACAAAUUUAACCUUUUUCUCUAUAUAAAACCUAAUUCUUGUGGGAUCCACAUCUUAUUUAGAUUAUAUUACUUGUAAUGGCUAGUGUGUGCUCAAAUCGCAUCAACUUAUCAAAGCUUGUUUUCUGGUAUGAGAAACAGAGGAAAAAGACUAGUUGUUUUUCGGCUUGAUGAGUAAACUUUUUCAAAACUUGUAUAAUGUGGAGCUCCAGAAUUUCACUUCUUGAAGGGAGCCUUGGAGCAACAAUAAAGUUGUCUCCAUGUGACCGAUCAUGGGUUCGAACUGUGGAAUCAGCCAUUGCUGCUUGUAUUAGGGUAGGAUGCCUACAUCACACCCCAAGCCCUUGGGUGUAGCCCUUUCCCGACCCUGCGUGAACACGGAUGCUUCGUGCACUGGGCUGCUUAUGAUAUGAAAUUGUUCUUCAGCCUUGCAGUCUCAAAUUCUCUUUGGUGAACUUUUCUUACAUCCAACAAAAAAGAGAAAAAAAGUAUACCCAAAAUGCAUGAUGAAACUAUGAUUCCUUACACUGACACGAAGAAGAGACUAGAGAAUCAUGCACAUCAGUAUCAAAGUCAAGAAGUCAAAUUAAGAUAUUGAAAACUCCUCAAAGACAUCAAAUUUAUAUAAGACGUAAAAAAGAUUUUAAAAAAAGAAGAAGAUAGGAGCAUAAUGAAACCACAAACACACACGAAAUAGAAUUAUAAAAUACUAAUCAUAUCGGCUCGACUCCUGGUCUUACGUUUGGAAAAUAGGGAAAGAUAAAGAAAGGAAGGUAAUUUCCCAUCCCUUGUUUGAUUUAAGGAAGUAAGUGGAAAGUGAGCUAUAAUUCCAGUUUGGGCCCAACAAUUUCUGCACGCUUUACAAAUGCUUUGGCACAAACUAAGAAACAAUCACUCCAAUGCGUAAAUGGUUGAAAGUUCACAUUGUCAUCAUCUUUGGUAAAAUUAAAUCCACCAUGAAUAAUGAUAAACAGAGGCAGAUCCAGGAUUAUAACUUGAUGGGUUUGACCUCUAAGGUUCUUAGCAAUGAACUCAUCAUACUUCUAAAAUUAUGGGUUUAGAUUAAUAUUUGUUGAAAAUUUUGUGGGUUUUCAUAUAAAAUCCAUACUCCGCGUCGAAAAUGCGAGAUUUAGAUGAACCUGGUGCCAAAGCAUAUCCGACCCUGAUCAUAAACAGCUCUACCGUAGUUUUUAGCAGAUACACCCAAUUUAGGUUUAAUAAUACAUAGGUAAUUUUAUAUUCCCUUCCUUCCUUGCCCUAGUUUAUAAAUAUAGGGUAAAGGUAUGACAAUAUCUGAACAGCUUAUCAUGCAAUGCGGAUCUAAUCUAGAAGUCCCUACAAAACAACGAACCUUUUGCCUACCAUAGAACUUGACCAAAACGUUGGGGGACACCUACG
rnacentral:lncRNA from 1 species